CUGGUUUGGACCUCAGCUUCCAGGCCUGCAUAUGGCGGCGAUAGCGGCUUUGUCAAUGCUCUAGUGUAGCACGCUUUUGGUGUAAUUUUUGCUCGAAGAAUGCCACGGAAGAGGAAGUCAGCUGUAUUGAAAGAACCAAAAGUUUUUACAGAGACUGAAAUACAGGAGGAGCAACAGAAAGAGAACUCGGUAAAUGAACAAGGGAAUGAAAAACUCUCCACUGAAACAACAAAUAAACAAGUUCCUGAUCCCUCUUCCCCUGAAAUUGUUGAGGAGGCCUUUACUGCAGAAAGAUUAUUUGAGUAUCAAUGGCCUCCUGACAGAUCAGGAGAGUAUUAUCUUCUGCGGCAUCAAGUGUGUCAGUUUCUAGAAACAGAAGAUCUUGAAGAAAGAAAUCCAGAUUUAGAGAGGCAUGUUGUAGUGGAUGAUGAAAAACUGUAUCUUAAAGAGCAGGGAGUCAUCACUGAUGAAACACAAGAAUUAACAGCUUAUAAGACUGAGGAUGUUUGUCAAAUAAUGAUAGAUAGUUUUCCCAAAAAAUAUAAGGAAUAUAUCAGGGUGGCUCAUGUUAAGGAACGUCAAAGGAUAAUUCGAAAAGCAGAAGAAGAAAAGAGAUCUUUGGAAACUAGAAAAGUAGCAAACUACAUCAAACGGGCCAUCAAAGAUGUGGCAGAGUUCAAUGCUCAGUUGGCUCAGCAGAGGAGAGAAGAGAGAUGUUCAUACUUUGACAUGCAGACUCAAAUAAUCCAUGUUCCAGCCAACAAGACAACACGAUUAACAAAGCCUUGCACCAAACCAAGUUUAUACCCAGUUGCUCUUCUUCCAGGACAAUUCCAGGAAUACUAUAAAAGGUACACUUCAGAAGAGCUAAACAACUUUCCACUUGGUACUGUUAUGGAAAUGCCAAAGCCCCCACUGCCUCCAGAACCAUAUGUACCUCCGCAGCAAGCAGACUCUGAAGAAUCAGAUGAUAUAUCCUUGCCAGAUUCAACAGCUGAAGAAGGUAGUGAUAGCAGUUCUGAAGAGGAAAUAGAAGAACCACCGGCAAAGAAAAUACCAGGAAAAUACAAACCCCCAAAACGUCCCGAUGCACUGUGUGGCAUUUGCUUGAAAGGCCCAGAUUCAAACAAGAAAGGACUGCCAGAGGAACUUAUACACUGCUCACAGUGUGAGAAUAGUGGACAUCCCACAUGUCUGGACAUGAACACCCAGUUGGUUGUAGUUAUCCAGACAUAUCCAUGGCAAUGCAUGGAAUGUAAAACUUGCAUCGUCUGCCGCGACCCGUUUGAUGAGGAUAAGAUGUUAUUCUGUGACGAAUGUGACCGUGGAUACCACAGUUUCUGUGUGGGACUCAAACAGAUACCAGUAGGUCGGUGGACAUGUGAUAAGUGUGGUAUGUGUGCAUCCUGCUUGAGAAGAUCCCCAGUACACCAAACCACGAGACGGAUCAGAAGUGCAGUUCUUACAAACCUUGUGUUCUGCCUGUUCCAGGUUGUUCCGCGCAGGAAACUUCUGCCCGGUUUGCUUAAAAGUUUACCGCAAUGACGAGUCUGAUUUGCCCAUGGUGUGUUGUGACAUGUGUGACCGCUGGAUUCACACAGAUUGUGAUGGUAUCGACGAAAAGGCUUAUGCACAACUCGCCCGGACGAAAAGCAAAUACAGCUGUGUCCUGUGCCGUGGAGAGAAGCAAGAAAGAAUGGAUUCUUUUCACAGAAAGAACAGGAGCAAAGCUUCAUGAAAC
rnacentral:misc_RNA from 1 species